CAGUCGCCGCGGGAAUACGUAGGGGGCAAGCGUUAUCCGGAAUAACUGGGCGUAAAGGGUGCGCAGGUGGUUUAACAAGUUAGUGGUGAAAGGCAUAGGCUCAACCAAUGUAAGCCAUUAAAACUGUUUAACUUGAGUGCAGGAGAGGAAAGUGGAAUUCCUAGUGUAGCGGUGAAAUGCGUAGAUAUUAGGAGGAAUACCAGUGGCGAAGGCGACUUUCUGGACUGCAACUGACACUGAGGCACGAAAGCGUGGGGAGCAAACAGGAUUAGAUACCCCAGUAGUCCCUGUCUCUUAUACA
rnacentral:rRNA from 1 species